GGAGGAGAUGGUGAAGGUGGGGGAGGACUCACGUACUGGUAAGGAGGUGGAGGAGAUGUUGUUGGUGGUGGAGGGGACUUGUAGUAGUAGGGAGGAUGAGAAGAGGGAGAUGGAGGAGGAGGACUUUGAUAGUAAUAAGGAGGUGGUGGAGAUGGAGAUGGAGGUGGGGGAGAUUUGUAAUAGUAGGGAGGUGGUGGUGAUGGGGAUGGUGGUGGAGGUGAUUUGUAAUAGUAGGGUGGAGGUGGGGAAGGUGAUGGUGGUGGGGGAGAUUUAUAGUAGUAUGGAGGAGGGGGGGAUGGCGAUGGUGGGGGUGGUGACUUAUAGUAGUAUGGAGGGGGAGGGGAUGGUGAUGGUGGUGGAGGGCUUUUGUAGUAAUAAGGUGGUGGAGGAGAAGGUGAUGGUGGAGGUGGAGAUUUGUAGUAGUAUGGAGGCUUAACCACAGGUGAUGGUGGAGGUGGAGACUUGUAAUAGUAUGGAGGCUUAACCACUGGUGAUGGUGGUGGGGGGGAUUUAUAAUAGUAUGGAGGAGGUGGAGAGGGUGAUGGUGGAGGGGGGCUCUUGUAAUAGUAAGGAGGUGGAGGAGAAGGUGAUGGUGGAGGUGGAGACUUGUAAUAGUAUGGAGGCUUAACCACGGGCGAUGGUGGUGGGGGACUCUUGUAGUAGUAAGGUGGUGGAGGAGAAGGUGAUGGUGGAGGGGGGCUCUUGUAGUAGUAAGGGGGUGGAGGAGAAGGUGAUGGUGGAGGUGGAGACUUGUAAUAGUAUGGAGGCUUAACCACUGGUGAUGGUGGUGGGGGAGAUUUAUAAUAGUAAGGAGGCGGUGGAGAGGGUGAUGGUGGAGGUGGAGACUUGUAAUAGUAUGGAGGCUUAACCACGGGCGAUGGUGGUGGGGGACUCUUGUAGUAGUAAGGUGGUGGAGGAGAAGGUGAUGGUGGAGGUGGAGAUUUGUAAUAGUAUGGUGGAGGAGGAGAGGGUGAUGGUGGAGGUGGAGAAUUGUAAUAGUAUGGAGGCUUAACUACGGGUGAGGGUGGUGGGGGAGAUUUGUAGUAGUAUGGUGGCUUAACAACGGGUGAGGGUGGAGGGGGACUCUUGUAGUAGUAAGGAGGUGGGGGAGAAGGUGAUGGUGGAGGUGGGGAUUUGUAGUAGUAUGGAGGCUUAACCACAUGUGAUGGUGGAGGUGGGGAUUUGUAUAUGUAAACUGGUGAUGGAGGAGGAGGUGAUUUGUAGUAAUAAGGAGUUGGUGAAGGUUUGGGUUUUUCACAUUCUGCAAAAUGCUUCUUUGAAGCAUAAGCAAAUGGCUUAGCUUUGAGCACAACUUCAUACUUGUCCUUGGAUUUCACCUUCAACUUGGUUGCCUCAUUUAGCUUAGUGGGUACGGUGAAAGGUGAGCCCUUAGGUGGUGCAUAGAGCUCAGCCGUGCAUACUGUGGGUCCAUAUUUAACAUAGUCGAAGUCCUUAACUGUGAUGCUGUACUUUCCAUUGCUCUUGGUUUCACCAUAAGCCUUAAUAAUGUUACUUCCAGCUUUGCAUUUCACCUCCACAACAGCACCUGCUCAAUAUGAAAAUAAUUGCAAUUCAUAAAUCAUAUAUGUUAAGACAAAUUAUAUUUUUGGGCAGCAUUACUAAAAUAAAAGGUGGGUAAAACUAUCCUUAUCAUAUAAUAACAUAAUAUAUUAGCCAGCGUUACUAUGAGUAACUAGUUAAAUUAUCCUUGUCAUUUCAUUGCUUGCUUUAUUAAUUACAGGCUGCAAGCGGUUCUAACUGAAUAUAUAUAAUUUUAGAUAGGAUUUAGUAUGUCAUUUUUUAGUAUUUAGUAAAAAAAUGUUGGUUAGGUAAUAAUACGACAGUGGUUUUACAUUUUAGCUUGAAUUGCCUAUUAACCCGAUUGCUAAUAGUAACCAAUUAAUCUGACUGUCAUAUUAUUAGUUUGUGGAAAAAGGAUAAUAUAUGAAUAUAUUUAUUUGCUUAAGUUGUUUCAAGGUAGAGUAAUCGAGUUUAGUAAACUAUUCUCAAACUUCAAUUAGCAAUGUCUUGCUAACUUUUACGAUUUGAUUAUGCAUUUAGCGCGAAUUCCAAAAAUAAUAGGAAAUUAAAAUAAUUAGUAUCGAAAUGAGACAACUAAGAAUAAUUGUUUGUGUAGAAGCUUAGAGUAAAGAUGGUUAAAAUAUAUAAGCCUAACCCAAAAAUGACAUAGAUAGAGGAUCAAAAUAAAAGGAUAAAGAAAUAAUUGUAAUGUACCUCGGAGGUGGUGCUUGUCGUGGGACUUGUUAGGAUAUUCCCAAUCAUAGCACUUGAAGCUAUAGACCUUACCGACUACCUUUACAAUCAAUGAGUGGUGGUGGGGAUGUGGAGGAUAAACCACCGGUGGAGGAGGAGAACUGUAAUAAUAAGGUGUGUGUGAAGGAGGAGGAGGAGGAGAUUUGUAGUAGUAUGGCGUUGGAGCUGGAGACUUCACAGGUGGAGGAGGGGACUUGUAAUAGUAAGGUGGUAGAGGAGAUGGUGAAGGUGGAGGAGGAGAUUUAUAGUAGUAAUGUGUGGGAGCUGGAGACUUAACUGGUGGAGGAGGAGAUUUAUAGUAGUAAGGUGUGGGAGCUGGAGACUUAACCGGUGGGGGAGGAGAUUUAUAGUAGUAAGGUGUGGGAGCUGGAGACUUAACUGGUGGAGGUGGGGACUUAUAAUAGUAAGGAGUGGGUGUUGAAGACUUAACUGGUGGAGGUGGGGAUUUGUAGUAGUAAGGUGGGGGUGGUGAUGAUGACGGUGGUGGUGGAGACUUAUAGUAGUAAGGAGUGGGUGUUGGAGACUUGACUGGUGGAGGUGGGGACUUGUAGUAGUACGGUGGUGGAGGAGAUGGUGAAGGUGGUGGUGGGGACUUAUAAUAGUAAGGAGUGGGUGUUGGAGACUUAACUGGUGGAGGUGGGGAUUUGUAGUAGUAAGGUGGGGGUGGUGAUGGUGAUGGUGGUGGUGGGGACUUAUAGUAGUAAGGAGUGGGUGUUGGAGACUUAACUGGUGGAGGUGGGGACUUGUAGUAGUAAGGUGGUGGAGGAGAUGGAGACGGUGGUGGUGGGGACUUAUAGUAGUAAGGAGUGGGUGUUGGAGACUUAAUUGGUGGAGGUGGAGAUUUGUAGUAGUAAGGUGGGGGUGGUGAUGAUGAUGGUGGUGGUGGGGACUUAUAAUAGUAAGGAGUGGGUGCUGGAGACUUAACCGGUGGAGGUGGGGACUUGUAGUAGUAAGGUGGUGGAGGAGAUGGUGAAGGUGGUGGUGGGGACUUGUAGUAGUAAGGUGGGGGUGGUGAUGGUGACGGUGGUGGUGGGGACUUAUAGUAGUAAGGAGUGGGUGCUGGAGACUUAACUGGUGGGGGUGGAGACUUGUAGUAGUAAGGUGGUGGAGGAGAUGGUGAAGGUGGUGGUGGGGACUUAUAAUAGUAAGGAGUGGGUGUUGGAGAGUUAACUGGUGGAGGUGGGGAUUUGUAGUAGUAAGGUGGGGGUGGUGAUGGUGAUGGUGGUGGUGGAGACUUAUAGUAGUAAGGUGGAGGGGGUGAAGGUGAUGGAGGUGGUGGAGACUUGUAGUAGUAUGGUGUUGGAGUUGGGGAUUUAACAGGUGGUGGUGGAGACUUGUAAUAGUAAGGUGGAGGAGGUGAUGGUGAUGGAGGUGGUGGAGACUGGUAGUAGUAUGGCUUUGGAGCUGGUGACUUAACUGGUGGAGGUGGGGACUUGUAGUAGUAAGGUGGUGGAGGUGAUGGUGAAGGUGGUGGGGGUGAUUUGUAAUAGUAAGGUGGUGGGGGAGAUGGUGAAGGGGGUGGUGGGGACUUGUAGUAGUAUGGUGGAGGGGGUGAUGGAGAUGGAGGGGGUGGAGACUUGUAGUAAUAAGGCUUUGGGGCUGGGGAUUUAACUGGUGGUGGGGGAGACUGGUAGUAGUAAGGUGGUGGGGGUGAGGGAGAGGGUGGUGGGGGAGACUUGUAGUAGUAAGGAGGUGGAGGUGA
rnacentral:lncRNA from 1 species